UGAGUACGAGAUGCUACGGCAUCGAAGCAGUCUAUGUCAUACUUCCAAGAAAAGCUUGCACUGUCAGAAACAGAUAACGCCUGUACCAUAACCGACACAGGUGGGUAGGUAGAGUAUACUAAGGGGCGCGAGAUAACUCUCUCUAAGGAACUCGGCAAAAUGACUCCGUAACUUCGGGAGAAGGAGUGCCUUAUUUUUAAGGUUGCAAUAACAAGAUCCAAGCAACUGUUUACCAAAAACACAGGUCUCCGCUAAGUCGUAAGACGAUGUAUGGGGGCUGACGCCUGCCCAGUGCCAGAAGGUUAAAGAAGUCGGUUAGCAUUCGCGAAGCUGGUAACUGAAGCCCUGGUGAACGGCGGCCGUAACAAUAACGGUCCUAAGGUAGCGAAAUUCCUUGUCGGGUAAGUUCCGACCCGCACGAAAGGCGUAAUGAUUUGGAUACUGUCUCGGAGAGGGGCUCGGUGAAAUAGACUUGUCUGUGAAGAUGCGGACUACCUGCACCUGGACAGAAAGACCCUAUGAAGCUUUACUGUAACUUGAAAUUGAAAUUGGACUUUAUUUGCGCAGUAUAGGUGGGAGGCGUUGAAAAUAUUCUUGCGGGAAUAUUGGAGCCAUCAGUGAGAUACCACUCUUGUAAUGUUAGAUUUCUAACUUUAUAUCAUUAUCUGGUUAAAGAACAGUUUCAGGCGGGCAGUUUGACUGGGGCGGUCGCCUCCCAAAUGGUAACGGAGGCGCACAAAGGUUUCCUCUGAACGGGUAGAAAUCGUAUCUAGAGUGUAAAGGCAUAAGGAAGCUUGACUGUGAGACCUACAAGUCGAGCAGGGACGAAAGUCGGUCUUAGUGAUCUGACGGUGCUGAGUGGAAAGGCCGUCACUCAACGGAUAAAAGUUACUCUAGGAUAACAGGCUGAUCUCCCCCAAGAGUUCACAUCGACGGGGAGGUUUGGCACCUCGAUGUCGGCUCAUCGCAUCCUGGGGCGGUAGUACGUCCCAAGGGUUGGGCUGUUCGCCCAUGAAAGCGGUACGCGAGCUGGGUUCAGAACGUCGUGAGACAGUUCGGUCCAUAUCCGGUGUAGGCGUUAGAAUAUUGAGAGGAGCCUUCUUUAGUACGAGAGGACCGAGAAGGACAUACCUCUGGUGUACCAGUUAUCGUGCCAACGGUAAACGCUGGGUAGCUAUGUAUGGAGUGGAUAACCGCUGAAAGCAUCUAAGUGGGAAGCCCACCUCAAGAUAAGUAUUCUC
rnacentral:rRNA from 1 species